CGUGUAGGUGGCCUGAUCAGUCAGAUGUGAAAGCUCCCGGCUUAAACCGGGAAACUGCAUUUGAAACUGUCAGGCUUGAGUGCGAGAGAGGGUAGUGGAAUUCCAGUGUAGCGGUGAAAUGCGUAGAUAUUGGGAAGAACACCAGUAGCGAAGGCGGCUACCUGGCUCGUAACUGACGCUAAUGCGCGAAAGCGGUGGGGAUCAAACA
rnacentral:rRNA from 1 species